rnacentral:tRNA from 1 species
GGCUGGGUAGCUCAGUUGGUAGAGCAGGGGACUGAAAAUCCCUGUGUCAGGGGUUCGACUCCCUUCCCAGCCACCA